rnacentral:lncRNA from 1 species
GGGAAUGUCUCCCUGGCGCCAUCUUGUGGAUUCAGUCCUAUGUGACACCCCCACGCACCCACGCCCCAUCACCCCCUGGCGGGCACCGUAACAAGAUCCGUGUAGCUUCUCUCCCCCUGGAAAACUCAGCCUUUGGCCCAGAGAAUCAAUCAAUCAAUGCCAUUUAUUGCGCGCUUACUAUGUGCAGAGCACUGUGCUCGCUGUGGGCAGAGAAUGUGUUUAUUCACUGUUGUAUUGUAUUCUACUAAGCGCUUUGUACAGUGCUUUGUACACAGUAAGCGCUCAAUAGAUACAAUUGAAGUGAAUGGAUGAAUUGAUCAAUUGAGAAGCAGCAAGGCCUAAUGUCAAGAGCAGAGGCUUGCGAGUCAGAGGACAGGGCUUCUACUUCCAGCACUUGUCUGUUGUGUGACCUUGGGUGAGUCACUUAACUUCUCUGUGCCUCUCUUUAUUCAUUCAUUCAAUCAUAUUUAUUGAACACUUAAUGAAUAUAAAGCUCUCCUUCUCACUUCCUUUCCCUCUUUCCCUCUCUCCUCCCUCUCCCUCUUUCUCCUUCCCCAUCUCUCACCCUCUCCCUUUCUCUCCUUCCCUCUCCCUCUCUUUCUCUCCUUCACUCUCUCCCUCUCUUUCUCCUUCCCCUCUCUCUCUCUCUCUCUCUCCAACUUUUUCUUCUUCCCUCUCUCUUUCUCCCCAGCUCCUCUUGGACUCCCACCUCCAUGCCGCUGUGAGCUGGAAACAGAGGGGCAGCAUGUUCCUGGGGACUCAUGAAGCAGUGCUGCAGAGAGCAUGGGGAGUCAGCCCAGCAGAGCCAGGGGGUGGGGGAAGAGGGGCUACUUCACCCCAAACAGGAUCCCGCGGAGGCCAUGCUGCUUCCCCAAGUCCUCUAUGCCAGCAGUCAGGAUCCUGGAACUGCCAGAAAAUGAGUCAUCUGAAGGGUGGAUUUGAAUCCCAACCCCACUGGUUCACCUGGAACUGCUGUCUCUGAGGUCUUUGAGCUCCCUGAGCUUCCCAAAGUCUAUCUGCUACAUGACCUGUGGAAGCUCCCCUUGAAGCAACAUCAAGAACAUGGUUCCUCAGUUUACAUGUUAGAUUCCCUCCUUUCCCUAAUCCUGCUUUUCUUGAGAGACUCCCCUUUACUAAAUAGUAAAAAUAAUUGUGGUAUUUGCUAUGUCCCAAGCCCUGUGCUAAACAAUGGAGUAGGUCAGAAAAGUCCCUGUCCUGCCAGGAUCUCACAGUCUAAGGGAAAGAGAGAACAGGUAUUUUAUCCCCACUUUACAGAUCAGGUGCCUGAAGAAACCUAUUGACUUUUCUUGUCCGUCCUCCCAAAACUUCCUUAGGAAACAAAGAAUUUGGGAUGUGGGGACAUUGCUGGAGAGGGCUCUUGUUCUUGGGGGAUGCCCCUCUCUGCUUUCCCAACUCAGCCACUCCCUUCUGCUCACAGAAGACUAGAUAAAGAGUUGCUCACCUGCCUGGCCAGCUUCCCUCAGAACUCUCUGAGUGGCUCUCAGGCAAGUGAGCUAUGCAAGCUGAUGCCUGAACAAAGUUGUUUUUGUCCAGACUUUACAUUCUUUUAUCUUGGAUUCACUCAUUCAUUCAAUAUUCACUCAUUCAUUCAAUCAAUCAUAUUUAUUGAGUGCUUACUGUGUUCAGAGUACUGUACUAAGUGCUUGGAAAGUACAAUUUGGCAAUAUAUAGAGGCAAUCCCUCCCCAACAAUGGGCUUGUGGCCCAGCUUAAGCCUCAAGUGAGCCACAGAGAGGUGGUCCUGUGUAUCAUACUGUGGUCAGGAGAUCACACCCAGUGGAAGGACAGACUUCAUAGAGGUUAAAUAAUAUUACAACUAAUGAUAAUAUAUAUGCAUUUAUUAAGCACUCACUAUGUGCCAGACACUGUUCAAAGUGCUGGGAUAAUUACAAGGUAAUCAGGUAGGACACAGUCCCUUAUCCCAUAUGAGGCUCACAGUCUUAAUCAUCAUUUUCCAGAUGAGGUAACUGAGGCCCAGAAAAGUGAAGUGACUUGCUCAAGGUCACACAGCAGACAAAUGGCAGAGUUGGGAUUAGAACCCAGAUCCUUCUGAAUCCCAGGCCUGUGCUCUAUCCACUAGGCAAUAUUGUUUCUCCCACCUCUAUGGCUUCUUCACAUUUUCUUUCAGAGGCUUGUCCUCUGCCUGCCCCUCAUUCAUUGUGGGAAUCCCCUUCUGGGUCUCUUUCUAUUCUCUUUCCACACCCAUUCCCUUGGAGAACUCAUUCGCUCCCAUGACUUCAACUAUUAUCUCUACAUGGAUGAUUCCCCAAAAUGCCUCUUCAUUUCUGAUGUCUCUCCUGCUCUAUAUUCUCACAUUUCCUCCUGCUUUCAGGACAUCUUGGAUGUUCCACUGACUCUUCAACUUUAACAUGUCAAUAACAGAGCUCCAAAUAUUUCCAUUACCUCACUGUAAAUAAGGAUGAGGACUGUGAGCCCCAUGUGGGACAUGGACUGUGUUCAAC